GAUGAACGCUGGCGGCGUGCUUAACACAUGCAAGUUGAACGGAAAGGCCCAAGCUUGCUUGGGUACUCGAGUGGCGAACGGGUGAGUAACACGUGGGUGAUCUGCCCUGCACUUCGGGAUAAGCCUGGGAAACUGGGUCUAAUACCGGAUAGGACCACAUUUUGGAUGGUGUGGCGGAAAGUUUUUCGGUGUGGGAUGAGCUGGCGGCCUAUCAGCUUGUUGGUGGGGUAAUGGCCUACCAAGGCGUCGACGGGUAGCCGGCCUGAGAGGGUGUACGGCCACAUUGGGACUGAGAUACGGCCCAGACUCCUACGGGAGGCAGCAGUGGGGAAUAUUGCACAAGGGGCGCAAGCCUGAUGCAGCGACGCCGCGUGGGGGAUGACGGCCUUCGGGUUGUAAACUCCUUUCGCUAGGGACGAAGCGUUAUGUGACGGUACCUGGAGAAGAAGCACCGGCUAACUACGUG
rnacentral:rRNA from 1 species